rnacentral:rRNA from 1 species
GACGAACGCUGGCGGCGUGCCUAAUACAUGCAAGUAGAACGCAGUUUCGCACGGGUGAGUAACGCGUAGGUACCUGCCUCAUAUCGGGGGAUAACUAUUGUAAACGAUAGCUAAUACCGCAUACUGUGAGAUUGACCUGCGUUGGAUUAGCUAGUUGGUGAGGUAAAGUCUACAAAAGGCGACGAUACAUAGCCUACCUGAGAGGGUGAUCGGCAACACUGGAACGGAGACACGGCCCAGACUCCGACGUGAGGCAGCAGUAGGGAAUCUUCGGCAAUGGACGGAAGUCUGACCGAGCAACGCCGCGUGAGUGAAGAAGGUUUUCGGAUCGUAAAACUCGGUUGUUAGAGAAGCGGUAUCUAACCAGAAAGCCACGGCUAACUACGUGCCAGCAGCCGCGGUAAUUC